GUCCAAUAACGGGUGAAACGAUAUGUCCAACAAAUAUCGUUAAGAUAUGCUCUAACCAUAGUUAUGAUACUAUGGUAGAAGUGGGUUUUAGGCAUAACUCAACUCCACAAAACCGGCUUGUAAGGUGAGGUUUGCACCUCACUUAUAUAUUAUAAAUUGACCUUAUCUCUAGUCGGACUUCCAACACAUCCCUUUCACACAGAGUUAUUUAGGUAUAGA
rnacentral:lncRNA from 1 species